GACGAACGCUGGCGGCGUGCUUAACACAUGCGAGUCGAACGGAAAGGCCCUGCUUUUGUGGGGUGCUCGAGUGGCGAACGGGUGAGUAACACGUGAGUAACCUGCCCUUGACUUUGGGAUAACUGCAGGAAACUGGGGCUAAUACCGGAUAGGAGCUCCUGCUGCAUGGUGGGGGUUGGAAAGUUUCGGCGGUUGGGGAUGGACUCGCGGCUUAUCAGCUUGUUGGUGGGGUAGUGGCUUACCAAGGCUUUGACGGGUAGCCGGCCUGAGAGGGUGACCGGCCACAUUGGGAAUGAGAUACGGCCCAGCAGCCUACGGGAGGCAGCAGUGGGGAAUAUUGCACAAUGGGCGGAAGCCUGAUGCAGCAACGCCGCGUGCGGGAUGACGGCCUUCGGGUUGUAAACCGCUUUCGCCUGUGACGAAGCGUGAGUGACGGUAAUGGGUAAAGAAGCACCGGCUAACUACGUG
rnacentral:rRNA from 1 species